rnacentral:lncRNA from 7 species
GAGUAGCGCCAGCCGCCAAGUGCGCGUCCGGGCUGGCUGCUUCGGCGAGCAGGAGGGAGCCGCACCGCCGGGCUCCCGCAAUGUCGCCUCCUCCGCCCCCGCCGCUGCUGCGCAGCUGCUACGGGGGCGACACGACCACCGCGAGCACGCCGUCCAGACUAGUGCAGGACAUGUAGUAGUGAUGUGUUUGUAGCCAGCUGCUGCUGGCCUUCUGAGCUCUGCCUGCGGGCUGCGGGGCAACAUGGAGAUGGACAUGCUGCAACUCUGCUCCGUCGUUAAUUAAAGGUUCCCUUCCUAGGUGUUGAUUUUGGACUCAACAGUGACUUGACGUAAGUUUUGCCGCCCGAUGGCCAACUGUUUGUAUAGGGAACUGCUGCUCUUCAUCUCAGGCCCUAAGUUUGACUGUUCUUUGAUUCGCGUCAUGAUGUAAAAAUAAAAGCGUGCGUCUGUAUUGGUCAGCUCCUACAGUCUUCAGACAGAAGUGCUAGACCAAGGAUUGAUUUUUGAACCAUCGUAGAAUAGUUUCGUUAAAUCGUCUCCACCAGUGGAGCUAAUUCGCUAAGGUGUUU